rnacentral:tRNA from 1 species
GCCCGCAUAGCUCAGCGGAAAGAGCGCAUGGCCACGAACCACGGGGCCGCAGGUUCGACUCCUGCUAGGGCACCA